rnacentral:rRNA from 1 species
AGUCUGGUGCCAGCAGCCGCGGUAAUUCCAGCUCCGCAGGUGUAUAUCUAUGCUGCUGCGGUGAAAAAGCUCGUAGUUGGAUCUGCGUGCUCGGAACUGGUUGGCUCACUGAGUUCAAACUGGUCUCCGGCGCUUUAUUGGCUGGUUUUCCCUUGAUGCUCUUAACCGGGUGUCUUGGGUGGCUAGCACGUUUACUUUGAAAAAAUUAGAGUGCUCAAUACAGGCGUAAAGCCUUGAAUAGUGGUGCAUGGAAUAAUAGAAUAGGACCUCGGCUCUAUUUUGUUGGUUUUCGGAACGCGAGGUAAUGAUUAAGAGGGACAGACGGGGGCAUUCGUAUUGCGACGUUAGGGGUGAAAUUCUUGGAUCGUCGCAAGACGGACGACUGCGUAAGCAUUUGCCAAGAAUGUUUUCCUUAAUCAAGAACGAAAGUUAGAGGUUCGAAGGCGAUUAGAUACCGCCCUAGUUCUAACCGUAAACGAUGCCAACUAGCGAUUCGCAGGCGUUAAACAACGACCUUGCGGGCAGCUUCCCGGAAACGAAAGUGUUCGGGUUCCGGGGGAAGUAUGGUUGCAAAGCUGAAACUUAAAGGAAUUGACGGAAGGGCACCACCAGGAGUGGAGCCUGCGGCUUAAUUUGACCCAACACGGGAAAACUCACCCGGCCCGGACACCGUAAGGAUUGACAGAUUGAGAGCUCUUUCUUGAUUCGGUGGGUGGUGGUGCAUGGCCGUUCUUAGUUGGUGGAGCGAUUUGUCUGGUUUAUUCCGAUAACGAACGAGACUCUGGCCUACUAAAUAGUGGGCGGAUUCUUUCUGUCCGCAACACUUCUUAGAGGGACAAGCGGUGUUCAGCCGCACGAGAUUGAGCAAUAACAGGUCUGUGAUGCCCUUAGAUGUCCGGGGCUGCACGCGCGCUACACUGAAGGAAUCAGCGUGCUUUCUGACCUUGCCCGAAAGGGCUGGGUAACCCGAUGAAAAUCCUUCGUGAUUGGGAUAGGGACUUGCAAUUAUUUCCCUUGAACGAGGAAUUCCCAGUAAGUGUGGGUCAUAAGCUCGCGUUGAUUACGUCCCUGCCCUUUGUACACACCGCCCGUCGCUGCCCGGAACUGAGCCGUUUCGAGAAGAACAGGGACCGUCGUUGAAGGGCCUUAACGGGCUUUUCUCUGAUAGAAACUGUU